rfam:Helianthus annuus linkage group 1, whole genome shotgun sequence.
GGUUGUGGAUGAAUGCAAAAGUUCACAGUCAAAUGUGCUCGAGUGGAAGUAGUACUGGGAUGGGUGACCUCCUGGGAAGUCUCCACUCGAACAACCA